ACUCCUACGGGAGGCAGCAGUGGGGAAUCUUAGACAAUGGGGGAAACCCGUGAUCUAGCCAUGCCGCGUGAGCGAUGAAGGCCUUAGGGUUGUAAAGCUCUUUCAGCUGGGAAGAUAAUGACGGUACCAGCAGAAGAAGCCCCGCUAACUCCGUGCCAGCAGCCGCGGUAAUACGGAGGGUGCGAGCGUUAAUCGGAAUUACUGGGCGUAAAGCGCAUGCAGGUGGUUUGUUAAGUCAGAUGUGAAAGCCCGGGCUCAACCUCGGAAUAGCAUUUGAAACUGGCAAGCUAGAGUACUGUAGAGGGGGUGAGAAUUUCAGGUGUAGCGGUGAAAUGCGUAGAGAUCUG
rnacentral:rRNA from 1 species